rnacentral:rRNA from 1 species
UAGGGAAUCUUCGGCAAUGGACGAAAGUCUGACCGAGCAACGCCGCGUGAGUGAAGAAGGUUUUCGGAUCGUAAAACUCUGUUAUUAGGGAAGAACAUAUGUGUAAGUAACUGUGCACAUCUUGACGGUACCUAACCAGAAAGCCACGGCUAACUACGUGCCAGCAGCCGCGGUAAUACGUAGGUGGCAAGCGUUGUCCGGAUUUAUUGGGCGUAAAGGGAGCGUAGGCGGAUGAUUAAGUGGGAUGUGAAAUACCCGGGCUCAACUUGGGUGCUGCAUUCCAAACUGGUUAUCUAGAGUGCAGGAGAGGAGAGUGGAAUUCCUAGUGUAGCGGUGAAAUGCGUAGAUAUAUGGAGGAACACCAGUGGCGAAGGCGGCUCUCUGGUCUGUAACUGACGCUGAGGCUCGAAAGCGUGGGGAGCAAACAGG